GGUUGACUUAUUUUGAAGUGAAACCCACUGCUGGGUGAAAAACUUAAUUUGUUGGCCCAGAACUAGCAUUUUCUAAAAUGGAAGGAAAGAUAGAGGAAGGCAUACACCAGCAUCUCAGGUAUAAAGGACUUGCCUGGCCCUCUGCCCCUUUCCAGUGGUUCCCUGCCAGAAGGUGCCUUAGACUUGUGGCAAUUCAGUGGCCCUGCUGCAGGCCAAUUCUGCUUGGCUGGACAUCUGCCCACGAGGGGAUGGUUGAGAUCCACUAAAGGAUUUCAUGCUGAAGCCGUGGCUGCUGACCAAAUAUUUGAGAACUAUUGCAUCAGCUGACACUGAUUCUAUCGGAAUGAAGAAUACAGAAACCAGAGCCAAUUCUCCUGCUACCAAGAAAGCCAUAUUUUCUGCACGUGUGUCUGUUUUUACAUAUUCUUUAAGAAAGUAGAAUUCAGAGAAUACACACCAACUGGCUCGCUAAGCUCCAGUUAUGUUUACCUUCAUAUAUCUGAAGACAAAUAG